rnacentral:rRNA from 1 species
UAGGGAAUCUUCGGCAAUGGACGAAAGUCUGACCGAGCAACGCCGCGUGAGUGAAGAAGGUUUUCGGAUCGUAAAACUCUGUUGUUAGAGAAGAACAAGGACGUUAGUAACUGAACGUCCCCUGACGGUAUCUAACCAGAAAGCCACGGCUAACUACGUGCCAGCAGCCGCGGUAAUACGUAGGUGGCAAGCGUUGUCCGGAUUUAUUGGGCGUAAAGCGAGCGCAGGCGGUUUCUUAAGUCUGAUGUGAAAGCCCCCGGCUCAACCGGGGAGGGUCAUUGGAAACUGGGAGACUUGAGUGCAGAAGAGGAGAGUGGAAUUCCAUGUGGAGCGGUGAAAUGCGUAGAUAUAUGGAGGAACACCAGUGGCGAAGGCGGCUCUCUGGUCUGUAACUGACGCUGAGGCUCGAAAGCGUGGGGAGCAAACAGG